rnacentral:rRNA from 1 species
AUUGAACGCCGGCGGAAUGCUUUACACAUGCAAGUCGAACGGUAGAGGGGGCAACCCCUCGAGAGUGGCGAACGGGUGAGUAAUAUAUCGGAACGUGCCCAGUCGUGGGGGAUAACGUAGCGAAAGUUACGCUAAUACCGCAUACGAUCUAAGGAUGAAAGCGGGGGAUCGCAAGACCUCGCGCGAUUGGAGCGGCCGAUAUCAGAUUAGGUAGUUGGUGGGGUAAAGGCUCACCAAGCCAACGAUCUGUAGCUGGUCUGAGAGGACGACCAGCCACACUGGAACUGAGACACGGUCCAGAAUCCUACGGGAGGCAGCAGUGGGGAAUGUUGGACAAUGGACGCAAGUCUGUUCCAGCCAUUCCGCGUGCAGGAUGAAGGCCCUCGGGUUGUAAACUGCUUUUGUACGGAACGAAAAGGUCUCUCUUAAUACGGGGGGCUCAUGACGGUACCGCAAGAAUAAGCACCGGCUAACUACGUGCCAGCCGCCGCGGUAA